rnacentral:rRNA from 1 species
UGGGGAAUCUUCCGCAAUGGACGAAAGUCUGACGGAGCAACGCCGCGUGAGUGAUGACGGCCUUCGGGUUGUAAAGCUCUGUUAAUCGGGACGAAAGGCCUUCUUGCGAAUAGUUAGAAGGAUUGACGGUACCGGAANGAAAGCCCACGGCUAACUACGUGCCAGCAGCCGCGGUAAUACGUAGGUGGCAAGCGUUGUCCGGAAUUAUGGGGNGNAAAGCGCGCGCAGGCGGAUUGGUCAGUCUGUCUUAAAAGUUCGGGGCUUAACCCCGUGAUGGGAUGGAAACUGCCAAUCUAAAGUAUCGGAGAGGAAAGUGGAAUUCCUAGUGUAGCGGGGAAAAGGGGUAGAUAUUAGGAAGAACACCAGCGGCGAAGGCGACUUUCUGGACGAAAACUGACGCUGAGGCGCGAAAGCCAGGGGAGCGAACGGGAUUAGAUACCCCGGUAGUCCUGGCCGUAAACGAUGGGUACUAGGUGUAGGAGGUAUCGACCCCUUCUGUGCCGGAGUUAGCGCAAUAAGUACCCCGCCUGGGGAGUACGACCGCAAGGUUG